CUGAGCGAAUACAAUUGAAGAAGGUUGCAGCUGCGUCCAGUUCUGAUCCUAUUGCAGCAAUGGUUACUCAACAAGCAGCAAUGGCCACACAGCAGACAGCGAUGGCUACACAGCUGGCAGAGUUGACUACAAAACUUGGUGAGUUGAAUGUUGGACGUCCUGAACAAGCUGUGAUAGAUCCGUCAGGCAUGGAAGAUGUCAAUUAUGUGAAUGGCAGAAACUAUGGGAAUUUCCAGCGAGGACAGCCAGGAAUGUAUGGCAGAAGUCAAAAAUUUCAGCAGGGUCAGCAGCAGUUCCAGCCAGGAGCACGCCCGCAUCCUAAUCUUUCUUACGGCAAUCCGAACAAUGCUUUGCAGCCUCCACCUGGGUUUUCUGUAUAUAGCGGAGGAAUUAUAAAUGAGCCGAAGAAGGGAUCACUGGAGGAUAUGAUGCAGCAGGUUUUAACAGAGGUGUCUAGCAUGAAGACAACUGUUAAUUCAAGGAUAACUAAUUUGGAGUCUCAAGUGGGUAAUAUUGGGAAUAAUUUUUCAUCACUGUCGAAACAAGUGCAGAUUUUGGAGACUCAAGUUGGUCAGAUUGCCAACCAAGCAGCUGCGCAGCACACACCAGGAAAGUUUCCUAGCAACACGGAGAUCAAUCCUAGAAAUCAGUGUAAUGCGAUUCAUUUAAGGAGCGGGACUCAGUAUCAGAAUCAUCCAGAGCUGCAGGAUGGCAAGGAAAAAUGUGUAGAGAUUGUUGAGGAGGAUGACUUGGAGACGAUUGUAUGUGAUUCGCCGCCUACUUCUAAGGGGUCGAGUACUUCUGCUGUUAAGGAGCCCAAUCCUACUUCUACGUUUCCCAGGCCAGAGUACAAGCCUGUAGCACCUUUCCCGAAUCGCCUGGCAAAGCCAAAGAUGGAUGACAAGUUAGCCAAGUUCAUGGAGAUGUUUUCAAAGCUUCACAUCAACAUUCCUUUACUUGAUGCUUUGAGAGAUAUGCCAGGCUAUGCCAAGUUCCUCAAGGACGCAGUCUCCAACAAGAAGAAGUUGGGGAAAUAUGAGACGAUAAAUCUUUCCGAGGAAUGCAGUGCUGUGCUACAAAGAAAGCUACGUUAUAAUUUCUUACGCAAAACUGAAUUCAAUUUUUCUAAUGAUCAUAAUUAUUGGUAGGUACCUGUACAAAAAGUUGAAAGAUGAUAACAUGCUGGAAAAAUUUGUGUUUGUCAAUCCAUUUGGCGUAUCACAUGGAGCUGCUUGUGACGAGAGGGCACGUAAGUUAGCCGAUAGAUUAAUUCAAACAAAACCACAACAGCUUGUGUUGGUUCCUGUCAACGUUAAUAAACAUUGGAUCUUAACAAUUAUUGAGCCUUACAAAGAUUGUGUCUAUGUGAUGGAUCCUUUGUCUCAUCGGAAUCGUGAUGCCACUUGGAAAUCCGUAGUUGACACCGCAAUGACCAUUUUCAAUGCAACAAAGGAAAAGAAUAAAUUCAAGAAACCACCAAAAUGGGAAAUUGUUAAGGGCCCAAUACAACCCGAUUUCAAACAAUGUGGCUUUUACGUGAUGCGAUUUAUGAAAGAGAUCGUAAUGGCGUGUCAAGACGAUGACUCCGUUUUCGUGGCUUCAAUGUUUAAAAGACGUGAGUAUUCUAUGAGUGAGAUAAAUGAGGUUCGAGAAGAUUGGGCAACUUCUGCCAUUAAUGAGGUUUGUAAUAUCUAAUGAUUAGAAUUUUUAUUAAAUAUAUCUAUGGCUUUAUAGUGUUGUUAAUAUAUAUACUUGUUUUCUUUGUCUUGUAGCUUUGACAUGUGACAUGGAGAAGUUCUUGCGCGUUGAUAUGACAUUUUGAAAGCUUUCUGGAACAAUUAUAAUUUAGUCGGUGAUGUGGUAGAACAUUGGUUCUUAUUUUGUUGUUGGGAGAUGUGGUAGAACAUUGGUUCUUAUUUUGUUGUUGUUGGAUGAAUAUUGGUUAUCAAUGUUUAAUUGGUCAUUUUCAGUA